UACGUAGGGUGCAAGCGUUGUCCGGAAUUAUUGGGCGUAAAGAGCUCGUAGGCGGUCUGUCGCGUCGGCUGUGAAAACUCGGGGCUCAACCCCGAGCCUGCAGUCGAUACGGGCAGACUAGAGUGCUGUAGGGGAGACUGGAAUUCCUGGUGUAGCGGUGAAAUGCGCAGAUAUCAGGAGGAACACCGAUGGCGAAGGCAGGUCUCUGGGCCGAUAUCGACGCUGAGGAGCGAAAGCGUGGGGAGCGAACAGG
rnacentral:rRNA from 1 species